rnacentral:rRNA from 1 species
GUGCCAGCAGCCGCGGUAAUACCGGCAGUCCGAGUGAUGGCCGAUCUUAUUGGGCCUAAAGCGUCCGUAGCUGGCUGAACAAGUCCGUUGGGAAAUCUGUCCGCUUAACGGGCAGGCGUCCAGCGGAAACUGUUCAGCUUGGGACCGGAAGACCUGAGGGGUACGUCUGGGGUAGGAGUGAAAUCCUGUAAUCCUGGACGGACCGCCGGUGGCGAAAGCGCCUCAGGAGAACGGAUCCGACAGUGAGGGACGAAAGCUAGGGUCUCGAACCGGAUUAGAUACCCGGGUAGUCC